rnacentral:rRNA from 1 species
UACAGAGGGUGCAAGCGUUACUCGGAAUUCCUGGGCGUAAAGCGUGCGCAGGCGGUUUGCUAAGAGAGAUGUGAAAUCCCCGGGCUUAACCUGGGAACUGCGUUUCUAACUGGCAGGCUUGAGUGUGGCAGAGGGGGGUGGAAUUCCACGUGUAGCAGUGAAAUGCGUAGAGAUGUGGAGGAACACCGAUGGCGAAGGCAGCCCCCUGGGCUAACACUGACGCUCAUGCACGAAAGCGUGGGGAGCAAACAGG